UACGGGGGGGGCAAGCGUUGUUCGGAAUUACUGGGCGUAAAGGGCUCGUAGGCGGCCAACUAAGUCGGAUGUGAAAUCCCCAGGCUCAACUUGGGAACUGCAUCCGAUACUGGAUGGCUUGAAUUCGGGAGAGGGAUGCAGAAUUCCAGGUGUAGCGGUGAAAUGCGUAGAUAUCUGGAGGAAUACCCGUGGCGAAGGCGGCUCUCUGGAUCGACCCUGACGCUGAGGCGCGAAAGCGUGGGGAGCGAACGGG
rnacentral:rRNA from 1 species